GUAAUAUGAGAAGCAAUUACUCUGCUGGAAACACUUCACACAACACGUGGCCUUUCCUAGAAUUCACGGCUUUGUAUUGAAAUGGUUUGGAUAUACUCGACCUGCCGCCAGGCAAAACAUCCCCACCAAUAUUUAAUUUAAGGACAUAACGGUGGCGUGGAAUACUAUUCGAUUGUCAAAAAUUGAAGAGACAUGUCAACUUGUUUCAGAUUAUUGGUUAAUGGCGGGAAAAGAAUAGAAGUUCAAAUAUGAACAAUUUGACAAUGAAUAAUCAAUUUGAUGGCUUUUUAUGGAGAUUGGAUUUUUCGCAGUUUCCAUUUCGCCAAUGUAAUUCGACUUGAAAUUCGAUGGUUUUUCCGUGAUAAUCACCCUUGUGUUAAAAAAUGUAAAUUCUUACACUUGUGAUAACUUGAGAUUUUCCAAGCUAUUACAACAUCGAUAGUAACAUCCUCCGCAUCUAGCUAUGAGUCACAUGCAUCUUUGUUUCUUUGGUCACUCAAUCAUAUCGUACGAUGAAAGAUCCCAAUCGACACGAGUGAUUGGUUGUAUUACAUAGAACUUUUUACGAAUAUAAUGACCACCAUAUAUUUAUCAUGCCA
rnacentral:misc_RNA from 1 species